GAUGAACGCUGGCGGCGUGCUUAACACAUGCAAGUCGAACGGUGAAGGCGGAGCUUGCUCUGCUGGAUCAGUGGCGAACGGGUGAGUAACACGUGAGCAAUCUGCCCCUGACUCUGGGAUAAGCGCUGGAAACGGCGUCUAAUACUGGAUACGAGCUGCGAAGGCAUCUUCAGCAGCUGGAAAGAAUUUCGGUCAGGGAUGAGCUCGCGGCCUAUCAGCUUGUUGGUGAGGUAAUGGCUCACCAAGGCGUCGACGGGUAGCCGGCCUGAGAGGGUGACCGGCCACACUGGGACUGAGACACGGCCCAGACUCCUACGGGAGGCAGCAGUGGGGAAUAUUGCACAAUGGGCGAAAGCCUGAUGCAGCAACGCCGCGUGAGGGACGACGGCCUUCGGGUUGUAAACCUCUUUUAGCAGGGAAGAAGCGAAAGUGACGGUACCUGCAGAAAAAGCGCCAGCUAACUACGUG
rnacentral:rRNA from 1 species